UACGUAGGGUGCAAGCGUUGUUCGGAUUUACUGGGCGUAAAGGGCGCGUAGGCGGCCACUGCAAGUCAGUUGUGAAAUCUCCGGGCUUAACCCGGAAAGGUCAACUGAUACUGCAGGGCUAGAGUGCAGAAGGGGCAACUGGAAUUCUCGGUGUAGCGGUGAAAUGCGUAGAUAUCGAGAGGAACACCUGCGGCGAAGGCGGGUUGCUGGGCUGACACUGACGCUGAGGCGCGAAAGCCAGGGGAGCGAACGGG
rnacentral:rRNA from 1 species